CCGUAGCUCAGCUGGAUAGAGCGUUGGCCUCCGGAGCCAAAGGUCGAAGGUUCAAAUCCUUUCGGG
rnacentral:tRNA from 2 species